rnacentral:rRNA from 1 species
CCUACGGGAGGCAGCAGUGAGGAAUAUUGGUCAAUGGGCUUACGCCUGAACCAGCCAAGUCGCGUGAGGGAAGAAUGCCCUAUGGGUUGUAAACCUUUUUUGUCAGGGAGCAAUUGGCGCUAUGUGUAGCGUUAUCGAGAGUACCUGAAGAAAAAGCAUCGGCUAACUUCGUGCCAGCAGCCGCGGUAAUACGGAGGAGGCGAGCGUUAUCCGGAUUUAUUGGGAUUACAGGGUGCGUAGGAGGAAUGCCAAGUCAGCGGUAAAAUCGCGGGGCUCAACAUUGAUCCGCCGUUGAAACUGGCAUUCUUGAGUGUGAGAGAAGUAUGCGGAAUGCGUGGUGUAGCGGUGAAAUGCAUAGAUAUCAAGAAGAACUCUGAUUGCGAAGGCAGCAUACCGGCGCCCAACUGACGCUGAAGCACGAAAGCGUGGGUAUCGAACAGGAUUAGAUACCCGAGUAGUC